UACGUAGGGGGCUAGCGUUGCUCGGAAUCACUGGGCGUAAAGGGUGCGUAGGCGGGUCUUUAAGUCAGGGGUGAAAUCCUGGAGCUCAACUCCAGAACUGCCUUUGAUACUGAGGAUCUUGAGUUCGGGAGAGGUGAGUGGAACUGCGAGUGUAGAGGUGAAAUUCGUAGAUAUUCGCAAGAACACCAGUGGCGAAGGCAGCUCGCUGGGACGGUACUGACGCUAAGGCGCGAAAGCGUGGGGAGCGAACAGG
rnacentral:rRNA from 1 species